ensembl:lncRNA
UGGAGAUAUCCCUUCUGCAGCACUCUUCAUUCCUCCAGAGGGUUUCAAGCCCUCACUGGUACCAGCCAUGCCCCAAAACUUGUCAGAGCUGGGCUGUGGGGGAAGUGAGCUUAGGCAGCAGGGAGAGAGUGAGCACUUCCUCAGCCUGCAGCCAGAAUCUGCUACCUAACAGAAAAAGGACAGUGGGAUUUUCCGUGCAACAGAGACUGAGUGUGACUGCUGGGGGAGAAAGCAGGCGGAGAGAUUAGACAUGUCUGAUGCUGACAGAAAGCAUGUUUGUGCUUAAUACAUUGGAGAAAUUGUUCAGGAGCAAUCCAGCCGUGUGAAAAUAUGACCCUUGAAAUACUGCCAAGGUCAGAAAAACCUGAGGAGAUCUGCUGAGUAAGAGCUGGUCCUGCAAAGAAAAGCUGUCCAGAGACAGCAUGACCAUGUCGCUGGGGCAGCUCUCACCAGGGUCCCAGCGGGGCAGUGGCAGGGCCUCUGCUGCCCUUUUCUGUGCUUGCUUGUGCUCUGCUCACAGGAACUAAUGUUCCAGGCCUUCUCCAGCCCACCUGGCUCUUCAAUCACUUCUGAGUCUGAAAAUCACAUUGCUCCAGAAUGAAACUUCUAGGAGGGAGUUGGAUCUUCUAUAGAUCCUCUUUCCAUGCUGUUUUCUUUGCCUUUUGCUCUGUUCUAAAAGUGAUAAAGUUAUUAAACCACUUUCCUUUCUGCUUGUCAGGGCCAGCUUGCGGAAGAAGGAAUUGUGGCUCUUCCUGCCUGCAAAGUAUGCCUGCUUGGAAAGUCCAUCUACAAAUCCUGAAGAGCCUGUUUAUGUUACUUGAUGUGGUCACCUGAGUUGAGGAGCAGUGUGGAGCUACUGCAUCCAACAAAGCAUCAAGAGAUGCUGUCACAACCCUACACACAAUCCACUGCAAGACCAAGCCACCAAUUCUGCACAGCCACCAGUGCUGUCUGUGCUUCAGGAAAACUGAGAAAAGCUGAAGAGGCUGAACUUGUCGUCCUGAAGGAGAAGAAAAUGCCUCAGAAAACCAGGAACCCUUCCAUCCAUGCUAAGAGAAUACUUGUUCAAUUAAACGACUUUUACCUGUGUGGCAGCAGCUUGUAUCUCUUAAUGUGCCAAAUCCCUGUCUCACUGUUAGUCUCUGUACCUAGUAGCUGUCUUAAAACCCCUCAGACUGAGAGGUGACCCUCUCACCUCUCUAUCUCCUCCUGGCCAUCGAAGGUCACUUCAGCAAUGUCUAAAGAGUUAUCUUCUUUACUGAAAACACUUGGAGCAGCAUGGUGAAUGCCACUGUCAAGCCUGGAGCCAUAGUCAAAGACAAGGAAGUGCCCUGCCCCCAUGAGAUAAACCUUCUCCAACGCCAGGUUAAAACAAACAAACAAACAACGAAAAAAACAAUUAGAGCUUCCACUGCUCAAAGAUAGCUAUUAACAAACCUGCUGUUUUGCAGAAGUAGCAUGUAUGAACGUAUGUAUCUAUAAAAGAAAACCAACAAAAUUAUCCUCCCUAAAUUGUAAUGGCUUCUUCAGUAUUCAUAUUAAUACUUACUUUAAACCUUGAUGUCUAACUCUUCAUGAGCAUUCCUGUCUAGAGAAAUUAAUUUAUGCUUUGUUCUGAAAGCAUAUCAGCAAAUGGCCAUUGAUGCUGAUAGCCAUUUAUUGCUCCGGCAGUGAGGUUAAACAGCUUGUACUUUUAACUGCAUGGUACAAAAGAUAUAAAACUAUUUGCUUGAGAUAUUAAUCCAGGAUGACCUGAUAUAACAUGACAGUAAAAGAGCUUUUCCCAAAGAAGGGAAAUGUGUGCUUUGCUCGGUACCUCCUGCUGACUUCUCUGUUCCCAGUGAAUAAACAUACAGCUGAAUUCUCCCAUGCAGGUGUGAUCCAGGAAUGAACUGGCAGCACAUCCUUGUAUCUGCGAGUGCCAAGUCUAACUCACAGAAGCAGCCCACCACCAGCUCUGCAGCCAAAAUACUUGCUCCAUUUUCUCAAGAAUCAACAAAAUAACACACGAACAAAAAAUUCACUCAGUAUAUAUCUCUAAAGAAUGAAGCACCUUGGCGUAUAUACAAUGAAGCAUCAUGUGCAAGAAUGGUGUUUCAUGACUCAGCCACCAUAGACGACUUCACGGAAGCAAAAAGGGAAACUGUGCGUGAGGGAAAUGAGAAAUGGUCUAAUGAUUAAAGAUGAUGUACAGUCUAAUCUCUACAGAUGACCUAGUAAUUUGAAGGAGAAGAGCUUAAACGUUGGAAUAUUUCAUCUGAAAUAAUCUGUUCCCCAGAAGAGGGGAGCCACGUGCCCUCAGAUUGCAGCUGCUGAAUUGUCCAGCAGGUUGGCAAAGGAAAGUACAUGCUCUGUUUGCAUAUUUGUCCCGUGCCUUUUGUAUCCCAACUUGAGUUCUAUUCUGUUUCAGUCUGUUUUUCUGUUAAUCAGAAAAAAACUCUGAAAAACAUUAAACUCAGCUCCUC